GGGUCUGUAGCUCAGAGGAAAGAGCAGUAGUCUUCUAAACUAGGGGCGUGGGUUCGAAUCCCGCCAGACCCU
rnacentral:tRNA from 2 species